rnacentral:rRNA from 1 species
UACGGAGGGUGCAAGCGUUAUCCGGAAUCACUGGGUUUAAAGGGUGCGUAGGCGGCUUAGUAAGUCAGUGGUGAAAGACUGUGGCUUAACCAUGGAAUUGCCAUUGAUACUGCUGAGCUUGAAUCAGGUUGAGGUUGGCGGAAUGUGACAUGUAGCGGUGAAAUGCUUAGAUAUGUCAUGGAACACCGAUUGCGAAGGCAGCUGACUGGACCUGUAUUGACGCUGAGGAGCGAAAGCAUGGGGAGCGAACAGG